UGGAGGGUAGGGCUGAGCAGGUGCCUGUGGAGGAUAGGGCUGAGCAGGUGCUUGUGGAGGGUAGGGCUGAGGAGCUGGGGUAGGUGACUGGUGUUGGGGUUGGGGUUGCUGUUGCUGCGGCGGUUGAUAACCGUAACCGCGGCCUAAUUGAACAGAAGGAUAAUUACUGGACAUGAUCAAAGGGAAAGGGGCAAUGACGCCUUGAGCUUUGAAAUGCUUUCUUGUACUGGGG
rnacentral:lncRNA from 1 species